GUUCCCGGGAUCAUGUAGCAGCAGCGUUUCCCGGAUUACGGAAAACCACAACACACACCUGGCACCAGGCUUCACCCUUAACGACCUCGUUCCAGCGCCAGCGAACGUGGUUGUUCUCCCGGGUCCACUGGGGCCUUGCCUUUGGGGGACCCACACAGCCUCUACCCGAUGUCCUCGCAGCAGGGGAACUGCCUCUCUCCGUGUGGCCCGAAGAACCCUGGACUCCGCUCUGCUCCUGGGGAUUCGCCCUUCCCACCAGAGCACCACCAGAACUUCUGGUGCUGGUGGCCACCUGGGAUCUACCUCUAAGUUCCUGCUGCCAGACUGGCCCAUGGAACAUUCUCCGUGUGAUGGCUGUCCUGGCUGCCCAACUAGAAGAAUGCAGGUCUAUGGGAAGUCAGAGGCUGUGUUUAUUCGCCUGGAUCUCAUCUCGCACGGUGCCGGGCACACGAGGAGUAUUGAGUGCCUGUAUGCCAAAUAGAUGAGUGCCUCGAAACCACCACCCUCUCAAUCACUUUACAGAGGAAGAAGCUGGAGUCCACAGAGCUUCUUCCAAUCCAGGCUGAGAAAGGGGCCCAUGAAGUGCUGCUGGGAUGAGGACCUGGGUCUCGUUCAAGAGCAAGGGCACACACGUCCCUGGGUCUGCGCCUAACACUACUGCGUAUGGCUCCAGGCCAAAUCUCCAAAUGAAAUCAGGCCGGGGAGAAAUGAACAACCGAGAUGCACAAAACAAUGUGAAGAAGAAACGAAUAAUAAUAUAAAAAAAAAGCCGGUGGUUGAAGCCCAAGAUGAGCCGUGGGAGGGGCUCAGGACAUGACACGUGUCAGGGGUGGACUGCUGUGUGCCAACAGUGGUGAUGAUUGACAACAUCGAACAGCGUUCUGGACACCUUCCUCCUUCACAGUUCCAAAAGCACAUUUAUUUGCUGUGCCUCUCACCCCCUGCCCUGCACUGCCUGGCGUGGGGUGCUGCCCACAGUGGGUGCUCAAUCAAUGCUGCAGGCUGAUUGGUGAUUGGCAUCAGCAGUUUUGACUCCACGCCGGGAGUCGAGUCUCCAGCCCUGGACUAACUACCCAGCACCCUUUUAUGGGAGCUGAUUUGGGGGAGACUAGCCUUGAGGUGAGACAGCAGCAGAGCUUCUCGAAUGGAAAGGUCUUCGAAGAGAAGGGCUGGGGGCCUGCCGGGAGCCACCUCGCCUCUGCUACGGGCUUUCUCAGUCCAGCCAACGGAGAGGCUCCAGACAGCUUCCGCAGCCCAGGAGCUUUGACUUCGCACUCAAGUCCAUGUCUUGAGCCUAAACGUAAGUUCCAUUUCUUCUUGCUUGGUCCUCAGUGGAUUUGGAGAACCCCCCUUUCACUGGAGCCCCGAUUACCGGAAUACACAACCCAGCAAACCUGUAGAGAGUCUUUCCUGAGAGUUCUGGGAGGAAGGACAAGAUACCCUUGCCUCUUAGGGUUCGGUGAGGAGCAGGCUGGCCUCCAGGUAGGACCUAGUGUGGGCAGACUUCUACAUACCCCUAGGGUUUUCUGGUUUUCAGUAACAGAGAGCUAUUGCUAGCAGUGAGUCUCAGAGGACAAGCUCAAAUCCUGUCCUGGUGAAUGAGGAGGACAAGGAAGUGGCAGCAGCGAGUAGUGGAGACCUUACUACAAAGAAGCCUAGGGCCCAGGCGGUACUCAGUAUUCUGUUUUUCAGACCCAUUAGAGCACCCCAGUGUGCCCUCUGUUCCUCCUUCCACUUGGCCCAGGUGGCCAGGACCCAGGCUGCCUUCUGGGCUCUCAAAAGUGACCCCUCGGUAUCUGAUCUCCCAUCUGCUGGGCUAGGCAUGUGGAAGAGACAGCUGGCACAGCCCCUCCCGGGGGACUGCAAUUAGGGGAUAUUUAAUCCUGUCACCUGGUUCAUUUGCAGUGAUGGAUUUGGAUUGGAGCGCUGAGUGGCUCCAAGAGGAUAUUGGAUUACCAGGGCCCAUCCCCUUCACCCCUCACACAGAGCUGGCCCACCCCUGCCCUGCACCUGUCUUCCCUGGCCCCAAGGUGAGCCACCUGGCUCCCAUGAAUUAAGAGCAAGCACUUGGUGUCUCCUCUCCCCCUGCC